UAGGGAAUCUUCCACAAUGGACGCAAGUCUGAUGGAGCAACGCCGCGUGAGUGAAGAAGGUUUUCGGACCGUAAAGCUCUGUUGUUGGUGAAGAAGGAUAGAGGUAGUAACUGGCCUUUAUUUGACGGUAAUCAACCAGAAAGUCACGGCUAACUACGUGCCAGCAGCCGCGGUAAUCGUAGGUGGCAAGCGUUGUCCGGAUUUAUUGGGCGUAAAGCGAGCGCAGGCGGAAGAAUAAGUCUGAUGUGAAAGCCCUCGGCUUAACCGAGGAAUUGCAUCGGAAACUGUUUUCUUGAGUGCAGAAGAGGAGAGUAGAACUCCAUGUGUAGCGGUGGAAUGCGUAGAUAUAUGGAAGAAUACCAGUGGCGAAGGCGGCUCUCUGGUCUGCAACUGACGCUGAGGCUCGAAAGCAUGGGUAGCGAACAGGAUUAGAUACCCUGGUAGUCCAUGCCGUAAACGAUGAGUGC
rnacentral:rRNA from 1 species